GUACUCGCUUCGGCGGUACAUAUACUAAAAUUGGUACGAUACAGAGAGGAUUAGCAUGGCCCCUGCGCAAGGAUGAGACAAAAAAAUAAAAAAAGAUGGAUAGAGCG